rnacentral:rRNA from 1 species
UACGGGAGGCAGCAGUAGGGAAUCUUCGGCAAUGGGGGGCAACCCUGACCGAGCAACGCCGCGUGAGUGAAGAAGGUUUUCGGAUCGUAAAGCUCUGUUGUAAGUCAAGAACGAGUGUGAGAGUGGAAAGUUCACACUGUGACGGUAGCUUACCAGAAAGGGACGGCUAACUACGUGCCAGCAGCCGCGGUAAUACGUAGGUCCCGAGCGUUGUCCGGAUUUAUUGGGCGUAAAGCGAGCGCAGGCGGUUUGAUAAGUCUGAAGUUAAAGGCUGUGGCUCAACCAUAGUUCGCUUUGGAAACUGUCAAACUUGAGUGCAGAAGGGGAGAGUGGAAUUCCAUGUGUAGCGGUGAAAUGCGUAGAUAUAUGGAGGAACACCGGUGGCGAAAGCGGCUCUCUGGUCUGUAACUGACGCUGAGGCUCGAAAGCGUGGGGAGCGAACAGGAUUAGAUACCCUGGUAGUCCACGCCGUAAACGAUGAGUGCUAGGUGUUGGAUCCUUUCCGGGAUUCAGUGCCGCAGCUAACGCAUUAAGCACUCCGCCUGGGGAGUACGACCGCAAGGUUGAAACUCAAAGGAAUUGACGGGGGCCCGCACAAG